rnacentral:rRNA from 1 species
CACGUAGGUGGAUAUUUAAGUCGGAAGUGAAAGCCCUAGGCUUAACCUGGGAAUUGCCUCCGAUACUGGAUGUCUUGAAUAUGGUAGAGGGUAGUGGAAUUUCCGGUGUAGCUGUGAAAUGCGUAGAUAUCGGAAGGAACACCAGUGGCGAAAGCGGCUACCUGGACCAAUAUUGACACUUAGGUGCGAAAGCGUGGGGAGCAAACA